rnacentral:rRNA from 1 species
UACGGAGGGUGCAAACGUUGCUCGGAAUCAUUGGGCGUAAAGCGCACGUAGGCGGCCUGUUAAGUCGGGUGUGAGAGCCCUGGGCUCAACCCAGGAAGUGCACUCGAAACUGGCGGGCUUGAAUAUGGAAGAGGGUCGCGGAAUUCCCGGUGUAGAGGUGAAAUUCGUAGAUAUCGGGAGGAACACCAGUGGCGAAGGCGGCGACCUGGGCCAAUAUUGACGCUGAGGUGCGAAAGCGUGGGGAGCAAACAGG